UAUUGUUUAUAAAUGAAAAUAUAUCUAUUUACAGUAAAAAAUUAUUAUUUUUAACUAUUUUUAACAUUAUAAAUGGCAAAUGCAUGGAAAACUCAAAUCAUCAUUUUAAUUUUUAGACUAUACACUAAAAUACAUGCUGUAUCUUUAUGAAAACAUUAAAAUCGGUAAGUAUUUACGUUGUGUUAUUAUUUAACACAAAUUACAUAUAAUCUAAUAUAUAAUACCUACGUUAAUAAUAUCUCUUUUAAAUUAUUAAAUCAGGAGAAAUAUCGAUAAAUUAUGACUCAGAACACCCAAUAAAUAUAUCAAAUAAAAACAAAUCAAGCGAAAUUCCACGAAGUAAACAACCUAUUCUGAUGUCUCCAAAACAUUAUUGUUUAAUCAUAUCAGGUAUGUUAAAAUUAAA